rnacentral:lncRNA from 1 species
GGAUAUCUCAAAUUUGUAUUAUUAUUGUUGGAGAAAUAUAACAUGUUGAUGUUGAAACUUGUGGUUGAAAUGGUGAUGGACAGCUUUGUGCAACAACCUCUUGGCAAACAUGGUUUUGAUGAUGAUGAUAUUUGUUUUUUUUUAUUAUAAGUUAUUCAUAUGCCAUGUGCAUGGAUGAUAAUGAUUAAAUGAAUGAAUGAUUUGGAAUAUGAAUGAUAGUGUGGGAAUCUUUAAACAUGAAUGAAUGGAGAAUCUCAAUGUGAAAUGAAGAAAAUAUGAAAUGCAAAUUUAAAAUGUGACGAAUGUAAAAAUAUGAAAUAGUAAAAUAUGCGCAUGAAUGAAGCAGUAUGUAUGGAAUUUCUUUGGAUUAUGAAUGAAUGUUUACUGAAUUGUAUUGAA